rnacentral:rRNA from 1 species
ACGGGUGAGUAACGCGUGGGUAACCUGCCCUGUACAGGGGGAGUAACAGUCAGAAAUAGACUGCUAAUACCGCAUAAGACCACAGCACCGCAUGGUGCAGGGGUAAAAACUACCGGUGGUACAGGAUGGACCCGCGUCUGAUUAGCUGGUUGGUGAGGUAACGGCUCACCAAGGCGACGAUCAGUAGCCGGCUUGAGAGAGUGAACGGCCACAUUGGGACUGAGACACGGCCCAAACUCCUACGGGAGGCAGCAUG